CUCAAAUGAAUUGAGGACCCGCACAAGCGGUGGAUUAUGUGUUAAUUCGACGCAACGCGAAGAACCUUACCAGGCCUUGACAUACUCGGCAAAGCUCUAGAGAUAGAGUGGAGGUUAUCCGGGAUACAGGUGGUGCAUGGUUGUCGUCAGCUCGUGUCGUGAGAUGUUGGGUUAAGUCCCGCAACGAGCGCAACCCCUACGUUUAGUUGCUAACGCGUGAAGGCGAGCACUCUAGACGAACUGCCGUUGACAAAACGGAGGAAGGUGGGGAUGACGUCAAAUCAUCAUGCCCCUUAUGUUCUGGGCUACACACGUGCUACAAUGGCCGGUACAGACGGACGCAAAGCCGCGAGGUGGAGCAAAUCCUAAAAAGCCGGUCUCAGUUCGGAUUGCAGGCUGCAAUUCGCCUGCAUGAAGUCGGAAUCGCUAGUAAUCGCAGGUCAGCAUACUGCGGUGAAUACGUUCCCGGGCCUU
rnacentral:rRNA from 1 species